CUCUUGGAGACGAAGGCUUUUGCACAACAAGGCGACUUCAAUCCAUCAGAUCAUCGUGAAUCUCUUUGAGUUUUCAAUUUUCAUGAGGAAAGUUCGUGGUGGUGGCAGCCAGGCGUAGUAUUCGCCUUCCUGUCCCUUGUUGUGGUGGUUCAAUUCGUUAGCUACUACUCAACCUUCUCUUUCGAUAGUGUCCCGUUCCACGGUCGUGACUCGUGAGCGAUCAUGAGUCUUGCUGAUGUUCUUCAUCUUCUAAUUAUUAUUUUUGGUCUUUUUAUUUUGUGAUAUGUAUUAAUUUGAUCAGUGCUGUUUUUGUUCUCAUUUUAUUGGUAAAAUAUAUUCAGUAUGCGUUUUAAGUAAAUAAACAUUUUAAAAUAAUUUUUUAAACAUAUGAUCUUAUAUUAUAUUCUCAAUGCAGUAGCGAGAAGUUUUAGAGUGGUUAAUUGUUACGUGUUGUGCACUACAUCCGAUUAAUUAGGAUCGAAUGAUGACUUUCACCUAAUGCAUCAUUACUUAAUCUCGCAUAGAAUAUAGAGAAAAUUACUUUAUGAGUUAUCGAUUACACAUGUACAAUUAGAAAAUCUGUAACAUAGAUGUUGAAUUUGAAGAAAAUAAGAAAGCACGAAUGAAUCGUACUUUAAACCAAUGUUAAACAAAUCUUACUUUAUACCAAACACAGACUAGAAUGUUCAUUUCUCAAAGAACAUACUCCUCUCAUAUUCAUUACAGGGCAUAAAUAUAAAUUUCAAAUAAUCUGAGAAGGCUAGUAGGACCCUCCAUGGGCUCAUGGCAUCAGGAAACCAUACAUGAGGAGAACAUAUGAAAAGUGAAAGAAGCAAGGUCAGGUGGGGACUAUAAGAACCAAAGUUUACCCGACAAUAACUGCUUUUGCUUUUUAUCCAUAUCAAAUUAUCAAUCUUUGUUCUGUUUGUGAGUUGUAAUCUUCCACCUUAAGGUUUUGAUAUCUCUAUUUUUUUUUUCUUUGUGCGGAUGUGUAUCUCUAUACGUUCUAGUACUCAGUGAUUAACUUAAAGAUCAUCUCAAAAACAAUUUCAAUGAAGAGAUACUGUCGAGAUUUGUUGCUAAUCAUCACCAUCUUCUUCAUCACCUUUGCUUUUGCCGAAGAGCUUCAAUGUUGUUCAGACAAAACAACCGACUUGGUUCACAAAGAGAGACUAGUGAUCAGUGGCAAGAGAGCUCAUGGAAGCAUUUCACAAAUGAGCAGGGCAAGAGGUGUUUAUGGAGGUGGAUCUCUUAUCAGACCUAAAGGAAAAAAGAACAUAGCCAUGGCCUCCAUGACUAAAUCUGCUUCACUUGCAAUGCUUCAAGUAACAGUUGCAAUUCUGAUCCAUCUUUUCUUGAACUGAAAUGUAAAAAAUCUUUGAUGAAUUAUUUCUUGAUGA